GAUGAACGCUAGCGACAGGCCUAACACAUGCAAGUCGAGGGGCAUCAUGAUCCGUAGCAAUACGGGUUGAUGGCGACCGGCGCACGGGUGAGUAACGCGUAUGUAAUCUGCCUGUAACAGAGGGAUAACCCGGAGAAAUCCGGACUAAUACCUCAUAAUACACAGGAUUCGCAUGAGUUCUAUGUUAAAGGGAAUCGGUUACAGAUGAACAUGCGUUCCAUUAGUUGGUUGGCGGGGUAACGGCCCACCAAGGCUGCGAUGGAUAGGGGUUCUGAGAGGAAGGUCCCCCACACUGGUACUGAGACACGGACCAG
rnacentral:rRNA from 1 species